UACUGUUCAUGUGCUGAGGUUAGGAUAAAAUGAUGAGGAGAGCAGUUAGACUGGUUGGACUAUAAAUUGAGACAUUUCCCUGAGUAAGUGCGGAAGCUGAAUAAAUAAAUAAAGUCAGCUGCAAGUAAGGGAAAUGUCUCCGCUCUCCUAAGAACAGCUGACAGAGGGCAACCCUGCCAAGUGUUGCUGCUCUCAGUGCCCAGCCCAGCUCUGGGCAGAUGACCUCCCAGGACAGGCAGGCACCCUCAGCAGGGUGUCCUGACAUAGGCUUGCAAAUUAUGGCAGAGCAAAACUGUUCACCACAUGGCUGGAAAGCUAAAAAGAGGAAAAAGAGGAAGCUGGAGCUCUACAGUACUAUCUAAGGGCACACUGCCCAUGACCUGAAGACCUCCUGGUGGGACCCACCUCUUGCAGAUUUCAUCACCUCCCAAGAGUACCAAGCUGGGGACUAUGCCCUUUGUACAUGGGACUUUGGAGAGCUUUGCAGAUCCAGACCACAGCACAGAGCUUAAUGACAUUUUUAUUAUUUAAGAAGUUUCCUGGCAUUACUUUCCUGUUGCCACUAUUGAACUUUUUACCAUAGAAUGACUUCAUCUUGAUCUCAGAUACCCUAUAAAUGGAAAAACACAACAUUUACUCUCUGGACCUGGCUUAUUACAAUUAACAAGAGUUCUUGCACGUACUCCUUCCUUUUUGUUGAUAAGUUAUAAUCAGCUGUAUAAAUACAGCACAGUUAUGGAUUCAUUCUGCUCUUGGCUCCUGACUCAGAGGUCUGCAAAAAGGAGCAAAGCAUAGAAGAAUGAGGACUGGAACCAAGAACAACCAGGCUCAUGACCAACAUGGAGACCAGCGGCAUUGAUUACUGCAUAGAGGUCAAGAUAUGAAAAGAGUGUGUACUCGAUCUGGCUAUGCCUCAUCUUUCCCUUGUCCUAUGGCCUUUGGGGUGGUGUUGACUUCCUGCCAUUCCUAAGCUAAGUUGCCUAACCCUGUCUUGUUUACCCCAUUCAUUUCUUCCAACACUGCUGUAACUAGUGCCUCAUGUGAAAUUCUCUCCAUUGCACAACUUGAGGUGAGCUCUCUCCUGACUUGGCAGCACCAAGAUAACUCUGGUUGCUUUGCAAAAUUUCUGCUCAUCCUGUGUCUCUUGCUCCUUAGGAGUCUGACCAGAAGGCCUGUGUCCAUGACCUCUAUCUCUGAUGUCCAGACUGGCUUGGCCAUGAGGAAGUUCCUGAAAGGAGAUCAGGGGAGGAAGGGAUGUGUGUCAGUUAUCUCUCCAUACCUGAGAUAAUUAACUUCUAGAGAGUAAAGGCUUAUUUGGGUUCUCAAUUGUGGAGGUUUGGGUCCAUGAUCAUUUGGCCCCAUUCUUUUGAAUCUGUAGUGAGGCAGCAUGUGAUAGUGGGAGCAUGUGGGAAAGCAAAUUACUCACAUCACUGCUAGGGAGCAAAGGGAAGCAGAUGCCUCAAGGGUCCCACCGUCUCUUUUGAAGGCAUAUCGUCUAUGAUGUGAGGACCUCCCAUAAGGCCCCACUUCC